GGACUCAAUGCCGAUGCAAUGAAUCAUGGCCUGCGCAGCCCUGCGCCUGCCCAGCCCUCUGUGCGGGUCCAGAGAGAGCCGGUGCAGUUGCCAACAGGCUCCAUAGAAAUGAAAACAUCAUUUUCCUUCCGUCCAUUCCGGGCAGUCUGCAACUGCCUCUGAUAAUUAAUCCACAGAGAGAAAUCAAUACUACAACUGCUUGAAGAAGAAUCAACCCGUAGCAAAAUAAACUUUCCACCGAUGCAGUGGCCGGUCCUGCAGGCACCAGCAUCUCUGCAGAUGUGGAUCUAAACAAACGCUGCUUUCUCUGUGCACCAACCCGCCAGGCGGGAGUCAAUUACCCUGAACGCGCCGCGGACAGCUGUGGUUAUAAUGCAGCCUUUGUUCUCCAGAGGUGACUGGUGGGUUUGGGUGCAGAGAACAGACCUGAUGGUGGGGAGAGAUGGGAAGAAAUCGCUGCAGAUGCGGGUGACUGGGGAACGAUGACGAUAAUUCAGCCCAGGCCAGCCCUCGCCUCAGCUGAUGUCACCCACCGUGCAUGCUGGGACAGGCUGAGGAUACGGAUACGUGUUCACCAGGAGCAAGGCAGGGCCCACGCGCCCCACGAAGACUGAACCACCAGUGAGACCAGUGAGACCAAAGUCGCAGAUCCAGGCUCACGCGGGACCCCCAGACAAGGGUCACAGCCCACGUGGCAGGGAUUCUCACGCACGUCCUGGGAGCUCCAUGCCUGCAGGAGCUGGCAGUUCAAAUUAUUUCAGACAAGACCCCAAGACAAAUGGCUGUAUGAUAGAGUCACACAGGCGCACGAGUGGCAGCGUCAGGGGCCGGAGCUGCUGUGACGCCAGCCGGAGGGUGGAUGGGCAGGGCCCAGAGUCCUGCAGGCGUCGCUGGCCAAGGACCGAAAGCCAGGCCGUCCAGAGCCCACAGGCCCCUGCGCCUCCCGAGAGUCCGCAGGCCGUGAAGAGCUGGAGCAGAGGCUUACGAAGCCUCAUCUGCCCCGUCUGCAAGGCCACUUUCGCACCUCUCAGACGCGUGUUUGGCCUUCUCCUGCAAAGAGCACACAGUCUAUCGCCUGUGGAGAAGGAAGUGGCGAACUGGGCUGAGCCGGGACCCGUGGUUCCCAUUCCACACCCUCUGGGUGAAUGAUGCCAAGGCCGGGACGGAGCAGGGUCCUGAGGUGGCCACCGGGCUGGCACUGUGGGCACCAUGCCCUUGCGCAUGGGCUCUGGGAAGAGCAGGAGGAGCAAGGAGGCGGGUGCCUCAGGAACUGCUGCAGGCGGAGCCUAAGGGACAGGCGGCCAGAGUGGUGAGAGGGCCGGGGUGCACGGAGCGCUCAGCGACUUGGGGUCCAGCGUGGGAGGAGCUCAGAGCGGGACAGCGGGGACCUCAAAAGCGGCGCCUUCACAGAAGAAGCAUCCACUCUGCUCGUGCAGCGGCUGGGUGAGGAGCAGGCCCCGGGCGCCCUACGGAGUGGAGUCUGAGGGGCGGGACUGUCCGCCCUGGACUCCGACAAGAGGCGCACAGGUCCCUGCACUGUCCCCUCCUCUCCUCCCCUCCCCAGUGAGCACAGAUGCCGUGAGUUUACUAUGCACGAACUUGGUUACUUUGUCGUCCUGGGAAACCACCCAGGAGCACUGUUUGCCCACCUCUCCGUCUACACAGCCCCAAGGGACAGAGUCCCAGGGGCCCCGGGGCCACCCCAGCCAGGAGAGGACCCAGGAGGGGACCCAGAUGCCUCCGGAUCCUUCUCAGUCCCCGGACCCCCGGGCCAGGACCCCAUGUGCCGCUGGGGAGGGAGGCGCAGGCCCCAGCCCCUUCCUUCUCUGCUCUGCUCUGAAAGCAGCUCCUAAGAGUUUGUCCUGCAGCGUCCUGGUAGGGUCCUCACUGCCCCGCAGAUAGGUCUGGGCAGGACAGGUUCAGUUCUGCUCUGCAGCCCGCGGAGGCAGCCUGAGCUGCUGUGUGGAGUGUGCGUGACGGCCCACAAUGAACAGCGACUGGUUACACGCCUAAAUUCACCUCCCCUAGCCUGGCAGGCAGCACGGACAGCGCACACGGCUCCCCUCAGGCUGCCCCGGGCCAUCCCGGUCUCCACGUGCCCACCUGCAGUCAGCCAGGCUCCCGCCCUGACCCAGGACAGGGACCGAGUGCAGCUCUGUGGGAUCCAUGUGACCAGAAGUCACCAAGCUGCUGACCCGUCACUAGCACACGGACGAGCCCUUUAUGUUCAUGGGAGAAACAUGAGAGUGUGAGAUUUCCACAUCCCGCGUUGGAAGGCUUUUGUGGUUGCUGUUGCUGAGCCAUAAAUCACCAAGCAGCAGCUGCACUCCAAAGCCCAGCCCCGUGGCCCUUGGUCCUCUGUGCAGGGUCCUCCGUCCCCAUCUGAGGCCAGAGAGGGAGGCCAGGGUCCAGGCUUGCUCCCCGGCAGGACUCUUGACUGCGGCCCCCUCCCUGCUGUCACCAGGCUCUGCACGGGGCACCAAGCUGGAGGCCUCCUCAGUCCUUGGCCAUGGGAGCCACCCCACGUGGCUGCUGCUUGGCUCACAAGGAGCGUCUGUCUCCAGGACACAAGGAUGUUUGACCACAGAGGGGCCUGUGCCCCCUUGCCACUGCCCACCUCCUGGAAAGCAGUGGCGGUCAGCAGGGGACGGGACGGGGCAGCUUCCACACAUCUGCCCUGUGUUUGGGAGGACAUGGGGUUUCUAGGGUCAGAUGCUCCUCCUCACCUGAGGGGACCCUGCCCAGGGGUCACUCAGACGACUGACCCCUCCCAUGAGCCCACGCGGCCAACAGGAAGCUCGCAGCUUCGUGUCCAGAAGCUGAGCUGUGGGGGCCACGGCUCCAUCAGAAACAGACCUGGUGACAGAGCACAGGCCCCGCCAGGCAGCCGGGGGUGCAGCGCAUGGGCAGCCGUCCCAGCCCGUCUCCUGUGUCCUGGCUGCACCCCCGCCAGGCGGCCACCCACGGGGUCUGACCGAGUCCCCGGCUGUCCUGCUCCUCAUCUCUGCCUCCCUGGCCAUGGCUGGCUGGUCAUGGGGUUUCUCUUGGUCACAGUGGUGCCAGGGGCUCCCAGGCCCAUGGGGGCCUCACCCAUCCUCCUGGCCGUCAGGCGCCCGCUUGAGGAGCCCAGGUGUGCCUGUCUCAUGCUGGACCAGACACAGCCUGGGAACAGAUCCCUCAGCCACUUCCCCCACUCGGGCGCUCUGCGAUGUCUCCUCUGUCAGCCUCGCACAGCCGCUGCCCCCACUGCAGUCCUCACUGGACUGUGCCCUCCCCAGGCUCCCCUCGCCUCCGCAGGCCAUGUGACCGGGCAGUGUGGAAUGCUGUUUGUCCCCAUGCCCACCCUGCACCUACCCACUCUCACUGCCGUCCAAACCGUCAGCCCCGGAGCAAGCGCUCUUCCGACAGAGUCCCGGUUCUGCUCGUUGCUCACUGGGCUCCCACUGCUGAGGGGCUCCUGCCCUGUGCCCACCUGCCUGUGGAAAGCAGGGCAAGUAGAGGGACCCGCCUCUGCCCUGGCCAGGACCUCACCAGUAGCAGCCAGCGAAGCUCCUUGCCCACAUCCAUAGCACUGGCCACUGCCAGUCAGUCAGGCACUGUCACCACAGCGCAGGCCACUGCAGGUCUAGGAGGCCCUGGGCGCGCAGUGCCCGCAGGCUGACGCUUCUCCCUGGGAAGGGGGGCAAUGCAGACAUGGGCACACACUGUCCACACUGUGUCCUGGGGCUGGCACCCCACCCUCCCCAGCCCCACAGCCUGUGACAGUGCAGCGCCCCGUCAGUCCCUUCAUGUCCUGGGAACAGCACACCCUUCUCCCCAGAGAGCCGGACACAGUCCUGUCCCCGGAGCCAACCGUGGAGCUUCCAGGUGCCCUGCGUCACACAGGCCUCUGAGAAGCGAGUCUGCAUGCCUCCAGGGCCUGCUCUGUCCUGGGCAGCUGUGACCCUAAGGGCCCUGGUGGGGCUCUUGCAAGGGGCACGGAAGGAACGCUUUCCACUCCCAGAUCCUGGGUGCCUCCACCCGGGGUCACUGCUGGCCAGCUCCCGGGACUCAGCAGGCAGGUGUGUGUGCACAGGGGUGGACUGCAGGGUGUGAGAAGGUGGGGGGGCGGUGUGUGGGACUCGGGUAUUUGGGUGUGCGUGAGUGUGUGCACUGUAUAGCUGUGCGUGUGUCACGUGGGUGUGAGUGCAAGUGUUUCUGAGGAGGAGCUGCUCCUCCUGGCAGUGUGAGCCGUGGCUCUCCAGGCACACUCUCGUGCACGGGUUUGGAGAGCAGGGGCCUCUCCAUGCCAUACCU
rnacentral:lncRNA from 1 species